GACACGGGGACGAGAAAAUGAUUCCUCUCAGUCUGCUGAUGUUGGUUUUGUUUGUUUCUUUAUUUCCAUUUAGCUUUGCUUCAUCCUGGCUUGUAAGAUGUAGAAAGUUGGGUAAAAGGAGUGAAAGAAGGGGCAGAGCUACUCCAUUGCCUUACAGUGUUGAACACAAAUAUACAAAUCAUAUCUAUAUCACUACUGUGGUGACAGCAGAUACGUUACCUCACAAACACUGGCAACUUAUCUAUGACUACUGUAUGUACUUGGGAGAGAGCUGUCAGUUACAGCAUUGCUUUAAGAGACCCAGCUGAUCAUACUUAUUACUAAUUAUACAUGACUGAAAGAGGCGGAUGAAACCAAAGCUUAAUAAAUUAAUGAUUGUAGAUUAAUACAACAAAAAAGCAGAGUCUAGAUGAAGGAUACCUAAGCCAGCACUAAACAAACCAC